GUGGGGAAUAUUAGGCAAUGGGCGAAAGCCUGACCUAGCAACGCCGCGUGAAGGAAGAAGGCCUUCGGGUUGUAAACUUCUUUUAUGAGGGACGAAGGACGUGACGGUACCUCAUGAAUAAGCCACGGCUAACUACGUGCCAGCAGCCGCGGUAAUACGUAGGUGGCAAGCGUUGUCCGGAUUUACUGGGUGUAAAGGGCGCGUAGGCGGGAUAGCAAGUCAGGUGUGAAAUCCGGGGGCUUAACCCUCGAACUGCACUUGAAACUGUUAUUCUUGAGUGAUGGAGAGGCAAGCGGAAUUCCGAGUGUAGCGGUGAAAUGCGUAGAUAUUAGGAGGAACACCAGUGGCGAAGGCGGCUUGCUGGACAUUAACUGACGCUGAGGCGCGAAAGCGUGGGGAGCAAACAGGAUUAGAAACCCUGGUAGUCC
rnacentral:rRNA from 1 species